rnacentral:rRNA from 1 species
GUACACUCCUACGGGAGGCAGCAGUGGGGAAUAUUGGACAAUGGGCGCAAGCCUGAUCCAGCCAUGCCGCGUGAGUGAUGAAGGCCCUAGGGUUGUAAAGCUCUUUCACCGGUGAAGAUAAUGACGGUAACCGGAGAAGAAGCCCCGGCUAACUUCGUGCCAGCAGCCGCGGUAAUACGAAGGGGGCUAGCGUUGUUCGGAUUUACUGGGCGUAAAGCGCACGUAGGCGGACUAUUAAGUCAGGGGUGAAAUCCCGGGGCUCAACCCCGGAACUGCCUUUGAUACUGGUAGUCUUGAGUUCGAGAGAGGUGAGUGGAAUUCCGAGUGUAGAGGUGAAAUUCGUAGAUAUUCGGAGGAACACCAGUGGCGAAGGCGGCUCACUGGCUCGAUACUGACGCUGAGGUGCGAAAGCGUGGGGAGCAAACAGGAUUAGAUACCCCAGUAGUCCCAUGU